GGAUUCCCCUAGUAACUGCGAGUGAAGCGGGAAAAGCUCAAAUUUAAAAUCUGGCGGUCUUUGGCCGUCCGAGUUGUAGUCUGGAGAAGUGCUUUCCGCGCUGGACCGUGUAUAAGUCUCUUGGAACAGAGCGUCAUAGAGGGUGAGAAUCCCGUCUUUGACACGGACUACCAGUGCUUUGUGAUGCGCUCUCAAAGAGUCGAGUUGUUUGGGAAUGCAGCUCAAAAUGGGUGGUGAAUUCCAUCUAAAGCUAAAUAUUGGCGAGAGACCGAUAGCGAACAAGUACCGUGAGGGAAAGAUGAAAAGCACUUUGGAAAGAGAGUUAAACAGUACGUGAAAUUGCUGAAAGGGAAACGCUUGAAGUCAGUCGCGUCUGCCGGAACUCAGCCUUCCUUUUGGUUGGUGCACUUUCCGGUAGACGGGCCAGCAUCGAUUUCGACCGUCGGAAAAGGGCUGGGGAAAUGUGGCACCUUUCGGGGUGUGUUAUAGUCCUCAGUCGCAUACGUCGGUUGGGAUCGAGGAUCGCAGCGCGCCGCAAGGCAGGGGUUCGCCCACUUUCGCGCUUAGGAUGCUGGCAUAAUGGCUUUAAACGACCCGUC
rnacentral:rRNA from 1 species